UACGGGGGGGGCAAGCGUUGUUCGGAAUUACUGGGCGUAAAGGGUUCGUAGGUGGUCUGCUAAGUCGGACGUGAAAUCCCUCAGCUUAACUGGGGAACUGCGUCCGAUACUGGUGGGCUUGAGUGCAGGAGAGGAACGCGGAAUUCCAGGUGUAGCGGUGAAAUGCGUAGAUAUCUGGAGGAACACCGGUGGCGAAGGCGGCGUUCUGGACUGCAACUGACACUGAUGAACGAAAGCCAGGGGAGCAAACGGG
rnacentral:rRNA from 1 species